rnacentral:rRNA from 1 species
AGAGUUUGAUCCUGGCUCAGAUUGAACGCUGGCGGUAGGCCUUAUACAUGCAAGUCGAGCGAGAAAGUAUCUUCGGAUAUGAGUAGAGCGGCGGACGGGUGAGUAACGCGUAGGAAUCUACCUAGUAGAAGGGGAUAGCCCGGGGAAACUCGGAUUAAUACCGUAUACCUCCUUAGGGAGAAAGAGGGCCUCUCUUUGAUGCUCUCGCUACUAGAUGAGCCUGCGUAAGAUUAGCUAGUUGGUGAGGUAAUGGCUCACCAAGGCGACGAUCUUUAGCUGGUCUGAGAGGACGAUCAGCCACAUUGGGACUGAGACACGGCCCAGACUCCUACGGGAGGCAGCAGUAGGGAAUAUUGGACAAUGAGCGCAAGCUUGAUCCAGCCAUACCGCGUGUGUGAAGAAGGCUUUCGGGUUGUAAAGCACUUUAAGCAGGGAGAAAAAGUUAUAGGUUAAUACCCUAUAACCGUGAUGUUACCUGCAGAAUAAGCACCGGCUAAUUCCGUGCCAGCAGCCGCGGUAAUACGGAAGGUGCAAGCGUUAAUCGGAAUUACUGGGCGUAAAGCGCGCGUAGGUGGUUUGUUAAGUUGGAUGUGAAAGCCCUGGGCUCAACCUAGGAACUGCAUCCAAAACUAACUCACUAGAGUACGAUAGAGGGAGGUAGAAUUCAUAGUGUAGCGGUGGAAUGCGUAGAUAUUAUGAAGAAUACCAGUGGCGAAGGCGGCCUCCUGGAUCUGUACUGACACUGAGGUGCGAAAGCGUGGGUAGCGAACAGGAUUAGAUACCCUGGUAGUCCACGCCGUAAACGAUGACAACUAGCUGUUGGGAGACAAUGUCUUUCAGUGGCGCAGCUAACGUUUUAAGUUGUCCGCCUGGGGAGUACGGCCGCAAGGCUAAAACUCAAAGGAAUUGACGG